UUUUUCAUUUGAAAUAAAUUAUGACCUAAGCAUGACAAACAAUGUCAUCUGAGAAUAAGUAUACCUUUAUUUAUUUAUUUGUUUAUUUAUUAUUUAAUCUUUUGCUGUCUAAAAUGUCAAUUCUGCUAUAGGUCUCGGAGCUGAUAAAACUACACCACUGCUGUAGGUGCACAACUUUUCCUAAUGAGGCAAAUGGAAACGGAGAAAGAAACACAAUGAAAAACCUCACAUACUGUUGGGAGCUGAGGAAAUUCAUAGACACCAGUCUCAUAUCCCAGUCAGUCAACAGCCAUAGUACAGUGCCAUGAAAGUGGCAAAUUUUAAAGUGAGGACACCAAAUCUUCAGAAGAGUGGCAGAACAUCCUCAGCCUCCGAUGGUAACACAGUCUUCAUAUACUGACUUGACAGCAGCAACGAUUACACCAAGAGUGGAGUGAAGUCAUGAGAGCAAAUGUUUCAGACUCAUGUGCCUUGGUCUGAGACUCACACUCGAUGUUGAUACGUAAACAGUCUGAUUUCCAGGGAUGUCAAGAGGCAGAGCAAACUACAGACACAGGAAGAAUGAAGCUCACCCUGAAGAAGCAGUCUGUAACCCAGUUUCUGAACUCUGUUGUUGGUGGGGGAGAAUUGCUUAGAUGGAGGACUAACUUUCCAUAGGAUUGAGUAGUGAGGACCUCACAAAAUCUAAGAGGCUAAAAACCACCAGCAACCUCUCCAAAAGUGAAAAUGUUGAAGCAGGGGCAUCAGUCUCCUUGGGAGGGACGUUGAGCAUUCAUGCAUGUCACUGACUUCGAUGGAGUUGGCAAAGGUCUUGGUACUCCUUGUACCACUGCCUGUAAGAAAUAAUCUGCAUAUAAAUCAAAUGGCUCUGAUGGUCCCACUGUGCUGCACAGGGCAUUAACUGCAGUUCUCAGAUUCUGGGAAAACGCAAAUAUGCGUCACUAAUGGGACAGAGGAAGGUAAAAUGAAGAGAGAAGACAUGACUUGUCCCUCUGACAUUACGCACAACCAUAGCCAGCUCUCUAGAGUAGUUAAUCUUGACCUCUUCAUCUUUGGAAUACAGUUUUUAUUUAUUUAUUUAAUUUAUUUUUCAAGUCAAACCCCACCAACCCUAAUAGGUGGUAGCAGUGGAGCCAGCCAGAGACUUGCCUUCUUCUUGUGCCACCUGACACUGCCGAUAGUGCAUUGGCUCACACUGUGUUGGUUCCUCUUCAUGCGUCCAGUGUCACUGAUAGCUGCAAAUGCUUCUUUUAUAGGACAGUAAUCCAUAAUUGACUGCCAUUUUAAUAACUGAGUGACAGGUGAAUAGAAACACUUCUUCAUCUUUUCCUUUUCUGGCUGGUAGGAGAAGACAUAAGCUUCUCUUCCACUUCCCACCCUUUAGGAAGAGGAAGCAUCUUUUUCUUCUGCUGCCUAAAGGACACAGUGAGAGGCCUCACCCUGUGU